AGGUGCCGCAGCAAUGCGGUCUCAGCAAAGAGUCCCUCCCGACUGUUUACCAAAAACACAGCACUUUGCCAACUCGUAAGAGGAAGUAUAAGGUGUGACGCCUGCCCGGUGCUCGAAGGUUAAGAGGAUGCGUCAGUCGCAAGAUGAAGCGUUGAAUUGAAGCCCGAGUAAACGGCGGCCGUAACUAUAACGGUCCUAAGGUAGCGAAAUUCCUUGUCGGUUAAAUACCGACCUGCAUGAAUGGCGUAACGAGAUGGGAGCUGUCUCAACCAGAGAUUCAGUGAAAUUGUAGUGGAGGUGAAAAUUCCUCCUACCCGCGGCAAGACGGAAAGACCCCGUGGACCUUUACUACAACUUAGCACUGCUAAUGGGAAUAUCAUGCGCAGGAUAGGUGGGAGGCUUUGAAGUAAGGGCUUUGGCUCUUAUGGAGCCAUCCUUGAGAUACCACCCUUGAUGUUUCUGUUAGCUAACUGGCCUGUGUUAUCCACAGGCAGGACAAUGCUUGGUGGGUAGUU
rnacentral:rRNA from 1 species